UACACUUAUGCCCCCUGUAUUUUAAGGAAGAAAAUUUAUUUAUUUACAAUACGUUAUUUAUUCACAUACAAAAUUGGGGUCCUUAAAAGUUGGAGUUUUCCCAAUUUUUUU